rnacentral:misc_RNA from 1 species
CGGAAACCCAGUGCCCGGGUCAGUGCGCCUGGCCGUUCCAUCAGCCCAUGUACGGCCCGCAAGGCCCACCGCUGGUGUCGCCUAACGGCGACGUCGGAGUUGACGGCAUGAUCAUUAAUCUGGCGACGGUGCUCGCCGGCGCCGUGACGAAUCCGGACGGGAAGGGUUACUAUCAGGGACCGGCAACGGCGCCGUUAGAGGCGGUGACGGCUUGUACCGGGGCAUUUGGCAAGGGGGCGUACCCGGGGUAUCCAGGUGACGUGGCAGUGGACCCGGCGACUGGGGCG